CCAGACUCCUACGGGAGGCAGCAGUGGGGGAUAUUGCACAAUGGGGGAAACCCUGAUGCAGCGACGCCGCGUGUGGGAAGACGGUCUUCUGGAUUGUAAACCACUGUCCCCAGGGACGAAAAUGACGGUACCUGGGGAGGAAGCUCCGGCUAACUACGUGCCAGCAGCCGCGGUCAUACGUAGGAUCCGAGUAUUAUCCGGAGUGACUGGGUGUAAAGAGUUGCGUAGGUGGCAUAAUAAGUAGCUAGUGAAAUCUGGUGGCUCAACCAUUCGGGCUAUUAGCUAAACUGUUAAGCUCGAGACCGUUAGGGGUAACUGGAAUUUCUAGUGUAGGAGUGAAAUCCGUAGAUAUUAGAAGGAACACCAAUAGCGUAGGCAGGUUACUGGGACGGUUCUGACACUAAGGCACGAAAGCGUAGGGAGCAAACGGGAUUAGAUACCCUUGUA
rnacentral:rRNA from 1 species